GUCACGCUAGGGAACCGGUGGCUCCGAUAAUUGCGCACCCCUCGAAUCUAUCGAUAGCUUUCCUUCCGCCGGCAAUCCAAAAACAGCAUAUUGUUUUGUGUGGAGUGGAAAUCGGGCUUUAUUGCUGUGGCUGUUGUCGUGUUACAGUGGCGCCAACGUGAGAUUCGGCUGCAUCGCAUUUUUCGAGGUCCUUGGCGUGAAAUAUCACCAACGGCACUCCUUGCAGCGUCUCAAGUUCGUAUAGACUUGAUCCCACCGCCCUAACGACUCUGCACUUGGCGUACUUGUGACAGAACCUGGCGUUGCGGCCUUUUGCUAAGUCACUCAGGAUGAAGUUACGCUUGUAUAUCUCCUGUCCAGGCUGCGUGCAUGGUGUCCUGUAUCCUGGCUCUAUAAAUCUGGUGCUUAUCGACACGGGCCAAGUUCUGCACCUCCGUGUCGCUGACGGCUUUCAACCUGCGUGCUAAUUUGUCGCUAUUCCGGGAAGUUGUUCGUCCCAUCG